rnacentral:lncRNA from 1 species
CCUGCCCUUUUACACCCCCGAAACGGGUGUGCGGGCUUCGCACCGACGGGCUGCGGCUUUGCGUGCGCACGCUUGGUUGGCACACUUGUGAACGCUUGCGCACACGUCCUUUGCACGCUCGCGCGCGCUUGUUCUGCACGCUCAUGCCUGCUUGUUUUACACACUCGUGCAUGCUUCUUUUGCACGCUCGCGCACGCUUCUUUUGCACGCUCGAGCCCGCUUGUUCUGCCCCCUCACGCUUGUUCUGCACGCUCAUGCCUGCUUGUUUUGCACACUCGUGCAUGCUUGUUUUGCACGCUCGUGCACGCUUGUUCUGCACGCUCAUGCCUGCUUGUUUUGCACACUCGUGCAUGCUUGUUUUGCACGCUCGUGCACGCUUGUUCUGCACGCUCAUGCCUGCUUGUUUUGCACACUCGUGCAUGCUUGUUUUGCACGCUCGUGCACGCUUGUUCUGCACGCUCAUGCCUGCUUGUUUUGCACACUCGUGCAUGCUUGUUUUGCACGCUCGUGCACGCUUGUUCUGCACGCUCAUGCCUGCUUGUUUUGCACACUCGUGCAUGCUUGUUUUGCACGCUCGUGCACGCUUGUUCUGCACGCUCAUGCCUGCUUGUUUUGCACACUCGUGCAUGCUUGUUUUGCACGCUCGUGCACGCUUGUUCUGCACGCUCAUGCCUGCUUGUUUUGCACACUCGUGCACGCUUGUUUUGCAUGCUCGCGCACACUUCUUCUGCACGCUUGCAUACACUUGGUUUGCACGCUCUGCAUGCUUGUUCUGUACACUCGCACUCGCUUGUUUGCACGCUUGCAGACACUUUGUUUUGCACACUCGCGCACGCUUGUUCUGCAUGCUCACGCCUGCUUGUUUCGCACACUCACGCACGCUUGUUUUGCACGCUCAUGCCCGCUUGUUUUGCACACUCACACACACUUGGUUUGCACGCUCGCACAUGCUUGUUCUGUUCACUCACACACGCGUGCUUUGCACGCUCACGCGUGCUCUCCCAGCUGCUUUGCACGGUCACCUCACUGUUUUGCACGCGCCCGCUCGCUCUGCACGCUCUCCCGGCUGCUUUGUGUGAUCGUGCUGCUGUUUUGCACGUGCGCGCUCCUUUUGCACGCUCACACGUGCUCUCCCGGCUGCUUUGCAUGAGCUCUCUGCUGUUUUGCACGCGCGCGCUCGCUCUGCACCCUCUCCCGGCCGCUUUGCACGCUUGCAGCCCUAUUUUGCACGCGCGCGCUCGCUCUGCACCCUCUCCCGGCCGCUUUGCACGCUUGCAGCCCUGUUUUGCACGCGCGCGCUCGCUCUGCNNNNNNNNNNNNN